CGCGCGUUAGCUUCCCACCUGGCCUCGCUGCCAGUAUCUCAUGUGCUUCUGCUGCAUUCUUUCUUCCCGCUGCCUUCUCUCUGCAGCUGCUCUCUCUCUCUUUCUUCUGUCAUUUGUUUUCCUCUUUUAUCUUUCUCUUCUUUCCACAACAAUGUUCCUCUGUCCUCUCAAUUUCUCUCCCUUUUCCUCUAGGGUUACGUACAUCCUCAUACUUUGUCCAUUCGCUCCUCCUCCUCCUCCGCCGGCGCACUGUCUCCCUCUCCUCUAUCGCCUCCUUUUCUACCUAGCAUCAGAGGUCCGCUUUCUCCCACUGGCCCUGGGAUUCCCCUUUCGCCUCCUUCUGCUUCAAGUUCAACCUCGCUGUUCCCUUUUUUUUUAUACCAUUUCUCCUCCACCGCCGCACCUUCUUCCUCUCGUUUAUCUCUCAGCCUUUGAGAGGCCUUUCAAUUCCGUAGCAAGAUCCUCGCCAUCAUCGGCAUCUCUCACUGCCUUUCCUCCCUAGAUCUCCAGACCCUCCGGACCCAGACCCUCACCCUUUAUAGGCUCAACUCCUCCAGAUCUCCAGACCAUCCUUGCUUGGAGGAAACAGAGAAAGAGAUCAAUUAAAGCAUCUUCCUUUUCCCUUUUUCCUAACCCUAAGCUGACCCGCCUUUCAUCCUCGCCGCUCUUCCUCACACUUCCUCUCCCUUCCCUGCCCUUUCCUCUCCCUAUCCCAUCUUACUACAUACAGUUUACUUCUUUAUUCACCGGCACUCGAAUUCGAGUAUAAUCCUCAUCUGCCGUCCAAAACAACCUGCGGGAAGUUGGAUAAAGCAGGUGCAUCAACGAUUGUAAGAUUUUUCUUGGUGGGGUCUUGUCAUCAGAUGCGUAAAAGGAGAGAUGGGGUUUAGUAGCUGUUUCAGUGCAUCUGGUUCUUGCAAGGGACGAAUAAAGCACAUGUGCCAUGAGAGCUUGCUACCAGCAAUGUCAGGCUAUUCUCAUACAACUCUUUGAGGUCAGCAACAGGACACUUUCUCUCCUCAAACUAGAAUAGGAGGCGGCGGUUUUGGAGUAGUAUAAAGGCUAUGGUACAUUUGCUACUGGGGAUUGUGAUGGUUAUGUUAGUGUGUGGGAUGGAAACAACAAAAAAAGGCUGUAUCAGUCUCAUUCAACUUACAGUACUCAAAAUACCCAGCAAGCCGUGUUGAAGAUGUUGAGGGAAAAUAAGGACCGAUUUGACUUAGUACUUAGGGAUGUUCAUAUGCCUGACAUGGAUGGCUAUAAGCUUUUGGAGCUUGUUGGACUUGAAAUGGACCUUCCUGUCAUGAUGUUAUCAGCAAACAGUGAUCCCAAGCUUGUAAUAAAAUGGGUCAUGCAUGGUGCAUGUGACUUUGGUGAAACUUGUUCGAAUUAAGGAGCUGAGGAAUAUUUGGCAACAUGUUAUCAGGAAAAAGAAGUUUGAUACCAAGAAACAAGGGAAGUCUACUUAUGAAGACAAGGCUGUUCAGGGAAAUAGAGAUGUCUGUCACGGGCAUCAGAAUACAGGUAACAGAGAUCAGAAUGGGAAACUUAAUAAAAAGAGGAAGGAUGAAGAAGAUGAGAGUGAAGAUGACGGACAUGAUCAUGAAGAUCCAGCAACACAGAUCCAGCCUAACUUUGUUAUUUUGUUACUGGUUGAUAAUAUGAUUAUCAGGAAGAGGAUUCAUGUUCGCGUAGAGUAUGUUCAGCCUUCUCGAUGCAAUGAGGAAAUCAAGUAUAGAACAGAAAAAAUGAUGAAUUGAAGGCUGCAGCAAAGGCAAGAGGUGAGGUCAACAAUACUAAGAGGCAACCUGAAGGGCCCAAACCAGGUUUCAUGGUAGAAGGUGCAACUUUGGAGACUGUAACUCCAAUUCCAUAAAAUGUGGUCAAUGAUCUCAAAGGGGGUUACUAAGUUUGUACUAUGUUGGAGUUCUCUCUAUUUGUUUAUCGCUUAAACAAUUGAAGACUAGAAAAUCUGUUUUUCCCCUCAUAGCCUUCAAAUUAGUGCGGAUUUGGUAUUUUUGUAAUAUUAAUAGAGGCAUUGGCCAUUGAGUUUUGUGUUUAAUGAAAGUAAUGUUGACAAAAUGAUGAUGCGGUACCUGUUUCCAACAAUUUUUGUUUACGUGCAAUGUCAAUUUUGUUGCCCCU